rnacentral:rRNA from 1 species
GUCUGUUUGAAGAUAUAAAAAGUCUGGCCUGCCCACUGAUAAUUUUUUUAAGGGCCGCGGUAAUUUGACCGUGCAAAGGUAGCAUAAUCGUUAGUUUUUUAAUUGGAAUCUUGUAUGAAUGGUUGAACAAAAGAAUAACUGUCUCUAUAUUUUUCUUGAAUUUAACUUUUGAGUGAAAAGGCUAAAAUAUUUUAAAAAGACGAUAAGACCCUGUAAAGCUUAAUAAAUUUCUGUUAUUCAAUUAAAUUUAAUAAUAAAUUUAUAAAAAUUUAUUAUAAGAAUAUAUUUUGUUGGGGCGACAAUGAUAAAAUGUUUAUUAACUGUUAAAAUUUUAGGACAUGGAUACAUGAUUAGUUAAUAUAAAAUGAUCCUUUAUAAAGAUUAAAAGUUUAAGUUACUUCAGGGAUAACAGCGUUAUUUUUAUUGAGAGUUCAUAUCGAAAUAAAAUUUUGCGACCUCGAUGUUGAAUUAAAAUUUCUUUAUAGUUGCAGCAGCUAUAAAAGAAGGUCUGUUCGACCUUUAAAUUUUUACAUGAUUUGAGUUCAGACCGGCGUGAG